UACGGAGGAUCCAAGCGUUAUCCGGAUUUAUUGGGUUUAAAGGGUGCGUAGGCGGAAUAGUAAGUCAGUGGUGAAAGCCUGCAGCUUAACUGUAGAAUUGCCAUUGAUACUGCUAAUCUUGAGUACAUAUGAAGUGGGCGGAAUGUGUCAUGUAGCGGUGAAAUGCUUAGACAUGACACAGAACACCGAUUGCGAAGGCAGCUCACUAAACUGUAACUGACGCUGAGGCACGAAAGCAUGGGGAGCAAACAGG
rnacentral:rRNA from 1 species